GCGUGCCCGUGUGUUUGCCUUGUAG
rnacentral:piRNA from 1 species